AUACGAAAGUGUGACCUAUGCCAAAAGGCACACCUACAUUCAACCCCUGAUGCCAAUUGGUGCACCCUGCCCUUCGUGCAAUGGGAAUGGACAUUCUUGGACCCUUUCCACAAGGCACAGGUCUGUGUAAGUUCCAGCUCAUUGCUAUUGACUAUUUUACUAAGUGAAUUGAGGUAGAGUUACUAGCUUGCAUUAUAGAAGCCCAAGUGCA
rnacentral:lncRNA from 1 species